GCGCUGCCGUUUCCCGCCCUGUCACAGGGUGGGAAACGGCAGUGCCACAGAAGGCCGUGCUCUCCUGCGGCCGCGUGCGCAUACGCACGCGGCCUCAGGAGCACUGCCUUCUGGG